rnacentral:rRNA from 1 species
GGUGAACGCUGGCGGCGUGCCUAAUACAUGCAAGUCGAGCGAACGGACGAGAAGCUUGCUUCUCUGAUGUUAGCGGCGGACGGGUGAGUAACACGUGGAUAACCUACCUAUAAGACUGGGAUAACUUCGGGAAACCGGAGCUAAUACCGGAUAAUAUUUUGAACCGCAUGGUUCAAAAGUGAAAGACGGUCUUGCUGUCACUUAUAGAUGGAUCCGCGCUGCAUUAGCUAGUUGGUAAGGUAACGGCUUACCAAGGCAACUAUGGAUAGCCGACGUGGGAGGGUGAUAGGCCACACUGGAACUGAGACACGGUCCAGACUCCUACGGGAGGCAGCAGUAGGGAAUCUUCCGCAAUGGGCGAAAGCCUGACGGAGCAACGCCGCGUGAGUGAUGAAGGUCUUCGGAUCGUAAAACUCUGUUAUUAGGGAAGAACAUAUGUGUAAGUAACUGUGCACAUCUUGACGGUACCUAAUCAGAAAGCCACGGCUAACUACGUG